CAAGGAAUUUUCCCCAAUGGGCGCAAGCCUGAGGGAGCAACGCCGCGUGCGGGAGGACGCCCUUCGGGGUGUAAACCGCUUUUGGUGGGGACGAAGGCAAUGACGGUACCCACCGAAUAAGGCCCGGCUAACUACGUGCCAGCAGCCGCGGUAACACGUAGGGGCCGAGCGUUGUCCGGAGUUACUGGGCGUAAAGCGCGCGCAGGCGGCCCGUCGCAUCUACGGUGAAAGCCCCGGGCUUAACCCGGGAGGGUCCGUGGAGAUGGGCGGGCUGGAGGCAGGGCGAGGCCGGUGGAAUUCCGGGUGUAGUGGUGAAAUGCGUAGAGAUCCGGAGGAACACCAGUGGCGAAGGCGGCCGGCUGGACCUGUCCUGACGCUGAGGCGCGAAGGCGUGGGGAGCGAACGG
rnacentral:rRNA from 1 species